CCUACGGGAGUCAGCAGUGAGGAAUAUUGGUCAAUGUGCGGGAGCCUGAACCAGCCAAGUCGCGUGAGGGACGACGGUCCUAUGGAUUGUAAACCUCUUUUGUCGGGGCACAAAGGCGCCCACGGGUGGGCGGAUGAGUGUACCCGCAGAAAAAGCCUCGGCUAACUCCGUGCCAGCAGCAGCGGUAAUACGGAGGAUGCGAGCGUUAUCCGGCUUUCUUGGGUGUAAAGGGCGUGUAGGCGGGACUGCAAGUCAGAUGUGAAAACCACGGGCUCAACCUGUGGCCUGCAUUUGAACCUGUAGUUCUUGAGUACUGGAGAGGCAGACGGAAUUACUAGUGUAGCGGUGAAAUGCGUAGAUAUUAGGAGGAACACCAGUGGCGAAGGCGGUCUGCUGGACAGCAACUGACGCUGAGGCGCGAAAGCGUGGGGAGCAAACAGGAUUAGAUACCCUUGUAGUC
rnacentral:rRNA from 1 species